UACGUAGGGGGCGAGCGUUUGUCCGGAUUUAUUGGGCGUAAAGAGCUCGUAGGCGGCUUGGCAAGUCGGGUGUGAAACCUCCAGGCUCAACCUGGAGACGCCACUCGAUACUGCUAUGGCUAGAGUCCGGUAGGGGACCACGGAAUUCCGGGUGUAGCGGUGGAAUGCGUAGAGAUCCGGAGGAAGACCGGUGGCGAAGGCGGCCUGCUGGGCAGAUACGUGACACUGAGGCUCGAAAGCGUGGGGAGCAAACAGG
rnacentral:rRNA from 1 species